GAUGAGGGAGAUGCCACAUUCAUCCUGACAGAGGUGAUCCGCCAACAGUUGCAUCUUGAUGGGAGUGUGACUGCCACAUGUUCUACACCUCAACCAUGGACUGCUGGUGAUUAUGUUGCUAUCGUAAUUUGCAGCAUCCUUGGACUACUUGUGCUGCUGGGAACUCUCUUGGAUAUGAUAAAGAUAUACUGCCGGUCUUCUGACGGAUCCACGGGUAAAGCAGAUACUAACGGAUAUGACCUUCUACAGGACGAAAUCCACGGGGAGGUCGACAGGAGGUCGGGACUGUUAUCGGGAAGUCUAACAGGCUCAUACGAAAGCUCGGUGAA